AGAUCCAAAAACAGAGUCUCUUUUCCGACUGAAGAUCGGCGACACUCGUCGCCGGCAGCCUCAAUCAAAAAUACGAAAAGAAAGAAAAGGAAGAGAGGAAGGAAAGGAAGGCUCACCCCCGGCCUCCGGUGACCUCACCGGCGAGAAAUCACGGCGAGAAACCCAACAGUGCCCGCGGCUCCGAUCGAGAAAAAUGGGGAGAAAGAGAG
rnacentral:lncRNA from 1 species